rnacentral:rRNA from 1 species
UACGUAGGGGGCAAGCGUUGUCCGGAAUCAUUGGGCGUAAAGCGCGUGUAGGCGGCCCGAUAAGUCCGCUGUGAAAGUCCAGGGUUCAACCCUGGGAUGCCGGUGGAUACUGUCGGGCUCGAGUCCGGAAGAGGCGAGUGGAAUUCCUGGUGUAGCGGUGAAAUGCGCAGAUAUCAGGAGGAACACCAAAGGCGAAGGCAGCUCGCUGGGACGGUACUGACGCUGAGGUGCGAAAGCGUGGGGAGCGAACAGG